AAAUGCCCCUUCAGCCUUACUUUGAGAUCAUGAGAGGAGUUGAAAUAUGAGCUUAAUGCUGGCCCUCUGCCUAGGAGUGAAUUUUGCCUGUAGGAGAGAAAAUGAAUGAUGUAUCCUUUCAUAGAAUUUCCAGAUAAACCAACAUGCCAGUCUUGUUGUAGUUCAGGUUUUCUCAUGCAGUUGUACACAUUACCUAGUCCUCACCCUACAUCCAUACUGAUUGAUUUGCCAUAUUCACUUGCAUUUUGGGGAUGAAGACAUCCUUGCUAAGCUUGUGCUGUGUGUUCUCAGAUUUUCUAUUCUUGUUCUUCUGCUUUCUCUGUUCCUUCCAUUGCUUUCUGCAGGUAUUUAAACCCAUGGUUCAAAAGAGAAUAUAAUGUAGCUAAGUGGGUAGAAGAUGUGAAUAAAAACACUGAAGGACCAUACUUUAGGACGCUGUCUCCUGCAAAGUCCCCAUCUUCAUCCACUGGAUCUAUUGCUUCCAGCAGAAAAUACCCUUAUCCAAUGCCUCCACUUCCUGACGAGGAGAAGAAAGCAAACAGGCAAAGUGCCAGGCUAUGGGAGACUUCCAUUUAGCUGCACCGUUUUCCUGGGAUGACGCGAGAACUUUUUACUUUAAAUUCUGUACAAACUCAGCACCACUGAGUCGUUGCACAUUCAUCUGCUCUUCAGACAAUUCAAAAGAUCAACACAGAUGCCCGUGACCGCAGUGAGAACCUCCUCUCAUCUGGAAGGGAAAAAGCAGUCUCUUUUUUCUUUUUUUCCUUCUCUUUUGUUUUCUGAUCAAGCAGAACUUUACAGACUUGAUGUAAAGAACAACCCAAACCAUCCCACCUACCAGGGGACCAUCAGAUGGACGUGACGAGGCUGUUCCGCACGGUACCAGACACGCUCACCCCACAUCCCGCCUGGGAGAGGGUUGGGGUUUUCCCUUGGCUUAGUGCAGCUCCAGGUCACGCUGACCGGCCUUGGGAAUGCGCACUCAGGAGAAGCUGGCCGAUGUAAACUUGUACGCUGUGUGCAUGAACCUUGUGUUCUUUACUUUCCACGUGUAAGGGAUAAACAACAUACUGUAGUAGAAAUUAGCAUGUAGGAGUAAGAAAUAUAGGAUUUUUUUUACAGGAUUUCAAGCUUUGAAAGGCAACUCUUUGAACCUAAACAUCAAACAAACAAGGAUUAUAUCUUUUUUUUUUUUAACCCUACGUGUUUAUAAUCUCAGUAUACAGAUUGUAUAUAUGUAAACAUUUGAUAAUGUCAAAAAUAGCUAUUAUACAUAAGUGUAUUUUGCCAAAUGCCUAAAGAAACAUGACUAACAUCACACUUCAAAUUUUCUAAUAUAUGAGCAGACAACUUUGGAAAUACAGAAAGUACAGUACUGUAAAACCACGUCACAUAAACUGGUUUUUGACCAAAACCUGUACUAUCUUCCAAGUAACCGACAAUCUCAAUUGUAUGGUGGAAUGCAGGAACCAGUAUGGUGGCACUUUGUCUUAAAUCAUCGUAAGGGGAAGCAGCCAAAAAGCGCUGUUCAGUGCGAUGACCCAACCCGACACUGGGGCGAUCAGGAACGAUCCUGUAGACAACAGAGACAGAGCCUCGAACUAACAUGCAGUACCAACUUCCAGGAAAUCUGGGAAUAACUUCUACAUACUCAAUUCAGGAUGUGGUGAUGUGAAGUCCUCUGGCAAGACUUGCUGUGUAUUUCUGAUAGAGCACUUCAGAUGCUGUUUUGGAUGAGACAGUGUAACUUACGAGAAACCUAACAAUUUCACUGCACUAGAUAAUACCAAUGCUGGGCAAGUGGCCAGUGUCAUUGCUGUCUUUUCAUUUGUUUGUGGAGUCUCCUUUACCAUGUGCUCGAUUGCUCUGCUUGCUGCCUCUGAUGUCCCCUUGAAAUGUUUGGGUGGCCGUAAACUGAGUACAAGUGAGUUUAGCCAGAAAAAGUGGAAAAAAGUCCCAACACUUUUAUCAUGGAGAUGUUGGUCUCCUGAAUCAAUGGAUAGUUAGCUUUUGAAUACUGAGACUUCUAAAAGGUGUCUGUUGUAAUACAAAGGUGGACAUUUCCAUUCAGUAAGAAAACUGGACCGUGUUUAAUCAAUCUAUAAUUCUCCAGCUCUCCAAAAAUGAAAAAUUUCUAGCUUCAAGCAGUGCCAUGACAGAACAAUAUACCUGAUUCUGUAUGGUACAAUUGAAUACCUUACCCAACAGCUGAAUUAUCAAUUAGAUAUUAUCCUGAUGGGAACAUCCACAGUGUUUCUGAAUCUUCUACCUCUUUCAUGCAUUUCCCUUAAGAAGUAAAGCCAACACUUUCAGCCUCUUAAUAUAUUUUUUUAACUCUUAAGUAAUUGAAUAAAGUUGGAUAUAUGUAAGAUUAAAUUAAGAAAUGUUUUAAGAUGUCAGCAAGUAUAAAAUAUAUAAGAUUUUUAGAAGCACUAUAUUUUAUGAUUAGGCUGUGUGUUAGAUUGUAACAAAAUGUUGACCUUGGAGUUCCAGUGAUUUCCUUCACAGUCAGCAGGUUCUGGUAAGUAUUUUAUAAAAAGGCAAAUAUGAGUGAGUACAAAGUACAAGACAGAAUGUAUUGAAUGAGCCAGCCACUAGUAAUUGCUUUAGGAAAAGAUUCUGCACUUUUGUGAAGAGUGAAUAGCUAUCAGCACAGAAAAAUAUUUUUUGCAAAGAUUUACUUUGAGUGUAGGUAACUGGAUUAAAAGUAGUCGAUAAUGCAUAGCUCAUGAAGUUGGGGCCUGAGCCAUGAUCACCUGAAAUCAAUAGAAGUCUGUUAUCGAUUCCACUGGAAGCUGAGCAGAACCCUCAAGGAGUUCACCUCAAUUAGGAAAUUAUGCUAACCCGAUAGCCUCUCUGUUAUUCUGUUGCCUUUUAGCUUCUUUUCCCUUUUGUCUUAGAAUUUUGUCUCAAAUAACUGGACUGUUCAUCACGUGCCUUUUACGAUAUUUUGUUUGGUUACAAACUAGCAUUUUGAUUUUGAAUAAUGUUAGAUUUCUGUGCAUAUUUCAUACUCACCACCCUUUACUCUUCCCUUUCCAUUCUGCCUUAUCAAGAAGCAGCAAGAUUUGGCAAACAGAACUGGAUGUAACAUAUUGGCUGUUUGUAUAAUGUUCAUAGCUUCUUGUUUUGAAAACAAAUGGCUCUCCUGACUGUAUUUUCAACAUACUAUGUACUUACUGCUUCUUACGUGUUUUGGUAUAAUACAUUCGUAGCAUAUCAUGAUCCAGUUGUGUCACAUUUGGAGAUAUGUAGUAACUGGAAGUCUAGUUAUGACUUCUGAGAUUAAUAAACAUUGACUUCCACUUUGAUUGUCUAGAGUGAGAACAUCACAAAACGUUCAUUUUUUUGCAGAAUUCUUCUGCAGAAAAUCGUGCAUUAAGUUGGCAGCCUGGAGAUUUUGUCAUGGCACAAAACCUGAACGUGUAUGGCUCUGAAAGCCUCUAAUGCCAAUGGAGGCCAAAGAAGAAUGCUUUCAUUCUGUGCUUUCCUACUUUUAAAAUGUGUUGAAAGCUGCCAGAUUAGUGACUGCAAGUAUCUUUACCCACAAUAAUUGGUUACACUGGCAAUAGCAAUAUAAAUAGCUGCAUAAUCCCUCAUGUAGUCUAAAAUAGAGUACUUGUAUGGUUAGUAAGAUAGCUCAGUCAUUUUGACUCCUUCAGACUCAGGCUUGUUUUUGCCAGCUAUGCUGAAUAUCCAGAUAUGUUGAAGUGGGGAGGUUCUCAGUUCUUCUCAGAUACAUUAUAAUUACCUGUCCAUACGAGCGUACAAACAGCAAGAUCAGCUAAACUAAUCCUAGUCUUGUAUUUCAACAUGUGGGAGAAGAACCGUGUAUAAUUUAAAAUAAAAUUAAUAUCGCUAACUGAUGGAGACUGAAAAAUACAGACUCUAUUCAAAUAAUAAGGCUGCACAGUGAUGCUGCAAUUUAACAACUAAAAAUCUACCUGCUAAUUUUGGAUUUGUUGAGGCGAGAACUUCAUUAAUCCAUGCUAUUGCCAUUUGGUGAGUGCACUCAGGCAGUUUACCAGUAAUGGUGGGGACUGAAAAUUUACAUAUAAUUUUGUUACCCGAUAAGAAGUGUGAGAUGCAUCUUUGAAGACAGUGACUUCCAAAUAUUUUAAGAGUUUUGUUCCUGAUUAAUGAUAUGUUAACCCAGCUAAGCCGAUGUACUCAUUAGUUAAUUUUGAUUAUGCUAAUGAACAAAUGGGCCUUUGGGCUAUAACCUGAACUAAAGAGAAAGAAAUUGUGUCAAGCUAGUGUACUGAAGUCCUCUUACCUGAAUCACUUGCUGGUAUUAAAUGGACUGAGUGGUCUUGUCAACAUUGAUUGAAACAAUUGUUUUCAAAACCAGGACUAAGAGUAGGUCUGUACAUUAAUACAGGCAUGCAUAUAUUACAAAUUCAGACCAACUUUUCAGUCAUUGUAUCAUGGACAUCCUCAAUGUGCUAAAGGAUCUGUUGGAAUAGAGAAUAUAUGAAGUUAGAUUUUGCCAGCAGGAUAUAACGUGAAACAAUUAUGAGACUCCAUAAGUCAAAGUGAUAAUAGAUGGGCUCUUAGCAAUUGCUCUGUUAUUAAAUCCCAUAUCUAGUUGUCGUAAGCAGACUUACCAAAUUCCAGUGUAAAACUCAGCAUGCAGAAGUUCUCCGUUCCUCUCUUCCAUUCUCUUUCCACUCCUACUGAAAAGCAUUCCCAAAUAGCAGCCCCUUGUGUUGGUUUGCUACGAUACACAAGCUGCAAGUUAGCUGUCCUUCCACCCAACAUCCUAGGUAAGGUCUUUCCAGUGCUUUUGCUUAUGUUACAGUAUGGGUGAAAGAGCCUCGUGUCUCAUUUGCAAUGGUAGAACCAUUUGGUGAUUUUCAUCCAGGUUUUCAUCUCAUCCUCUAGUGUUUUGGAUGGAGAAGUCUCUUUCUUUGAUCACUGUAAUCUAAAAGUUGUGCUGUCUCCCGUUUCUCUUGCUCCAAGUCUCAAGGCUAUCUAAUUCUUCCUGUAAGCUAUCUGAAUAUCUGCAUCAUUAUUGUUGUUUGGGCCAAUGUUAUCAACCACAAUGUAAAGUUGAUUUAUCUCAUUUUUUAAGAACUUAAGCAUUCUGGUCUCAAAAGUUAGGUUUUUUUUUUUGCUCCAAAUGCAUCAUCUAUCAGACUGCUGAUGACCCACUGUUUGCAUGGCUUCCAAACCACGUGACGUCUAGCAGCAAUAUGGGAUUUGUCUUCUAUCAGAUUUCCUGGAGACAAAUAUGAGCAAACUGCACGUUUGUACAGCUUGCCAUCCCAUGUCUGCAUGGUAAGGUAAAGUUCCCAUGUACACAUAGCUGCUGCACUAUGACAGAGCAGGAAAAACGGAGAACAGUGAAGCUGACUGUGCAGAUAUAGUUGCAGCACAAAUAGGAUUCUCCCAGAGACACUAAAACAUUGCUUUGACCCAAAUAUUUUCCAAGUUAACUUACGAAAAGUAUUUCUGGUGCCUCAGGUACGGACGCUGAUAAAACUUAAGCCUUGGAAACAUUAACUCUUCCAGCCAGCAGGUGGUACUGUGUCAUCCCAGAGCAUUUUGCUGUUACAAACACACUACAACCGUCAACAUAAAUGUGUUAUCUCAGGCAAGUAAUCAAAACGAUGUUCAGAACACGAGAAAUGUUGUACCUGACUUUUAAGUUGGCUCACCUUGCUGAGUCUGCUGUUUUUAGUUCUUUUUAAAAAGUACUUCAGCUAAAGCACCCUUAAACUCUUUGAAAACUUUGGUUACACAGGCUGCAAUGGCUGUAAUGGCAAUCUAGCACAGCAGGAAGAUAAUGAAAUGCAGAGCAGCCUUCUGAAGGAAGAAGCCUAGGUGUCAUGCUGUUUUUCGUUCCUGGAGCAUAGAAUGUCAAAGCAACAAGCUAUUUUUUCUGUUUCUCUACUCCUGUAACUAAGAAAAAAGCAGAAGUUUUGGUUAUAAAAAAGUCUCGGGGCCUUAAGAUCUUAUAUAUUCUAAUUUCAGCAUGGAGAGUCUAUUUUUACAGUCAAAUUAGAAAUUCUGUAUAUAGGCCUGACUGACCUUGUAAGUAUAGUGGUGCUAGCAGCUAAUCAUGCAAUAUUGUAAGGCUCUGUAUAACAGUAAAUUCUGGCUUAUUUUGGUGAUUGGUACAAGGAUUCUUGCUCACUGCCUGUGUAAAGAAUCUGCCUAUUUUAUGCUUGGAAAUACAGCCCACAACAUAUUCAAACUAUGAAUAUAUAACCUGAUUUUUCCCUUCUUAAGGGUAAAGAUGUAUUCCAAUAGGUAGUGUUUUAUAUAGAAUACAGUACUUAUUUUUAUUGUUGCAUAAAUGCAAAAUAUUUUUUUUCAGAAUAGCAAAGCAUUACAGAAUUUUUAAUCUGCUGGAGAAAACACUCUUUACAACAUGACCACUUCUUUCUGCAAAGCUUUUGGGGUGCUGUCUCCCAGCUGGCUUCAUUUUGUGCUGAUGAUAAUCCUGGACAUUGCUGUAAGAGAAAGCUACCUAUUUUUCCAGUCCUGCUAGCCCUGACAGGUAAAACAUUCAGAGAGGCAACAAUUGUUUCACCGUUGGGGUUGGGUUGAGGUUGGCAGAAACAACCAAUCUACAUCACAUUGUUGUCUCUGCUGGUUAAAAUCCUUUAAAAAUUGUACGUGAUGUAAUAGAAGCAUAAGAUUUUGACAAACACCAAAAUGAAGCACUGCAAUUCACAACUUCCAUCUUUGAGCGUGAUAUUUUUAUCAUCAGCGUUACAGGCAUUGGGCUGUUGAAGUGAAUGAAUUUGGCUUUCAUGUAGCUGAACAAAACGUUGCUUUUUAUAAAAUAAGAUCGCUGUAAUUCGGGAUUCUAAAUUCCUGCUCACUUUUAAUAACAGCAUCACAUAUCUACUUCUAUGAGAGUAUUUAAUACAAAUGCCUGUGGUUUUCAAUGUUACUAACAUAUUGUAACAUCAGUAAAGUGACUUUCAAUGACAAAGACCAUGUGUGUAUUUUCCUUCUUGUUCAAAUUACUGUAUUUAUCACAUUUACAUCCUGUUUUAAAGA